rnacentral:rRNA from 1 species
AAUAAUACCCGGGUAGUCCACGCCCUAAACGAUGUCAACUGGUUGUCGGGUCUUAAUUGACUUGGUAACGCAGCUAACGCGUGAAGUAGACCGCCUGGGGAGUACGGUCGCAAGAUUAAAACUCAAAGGAAUUGACGGGGACCCGCACAAGCGGUGGAUGAUGUGGAUUAAUUCGAUGCAACGCGAAAAACCUUACCUACCCUUGACAUGGCAGGAAUCCUGGAGAGAUCCGGGAGUGCUCGAAAGAGAACCUGCACACAGGUGCUGCAUGGCUGUCGUCAGCUCGUGUCGUGAGAUGUUGGGUUAAGUCCCGCAACGAGCGCAACCCUUGUCAUUAGUUGCUACGAAAGGGCACUCUAAUGAGACUGCCGGUGACAAACCGGAGGAAGGUGGGGAUGACGUCAAGUCCUCAUGGCCCUUAUGGGUAGGGCUUCACACGUCAUACAAUGGUACAUACAGAGGGCCGCCAACCCGCGAGGGGGAGCAAAUCCCAGAAAGUGUAUCGUAGUCCGGAUUGUAGUCUGCAA